GAGCCUAAAAACCCCCUCGGACGCAAAAGUCUGGUCCUGGCUUUAAAAUCAAUUCUUUCUUAAUUUACACAUGCAAGUCUCCUCAGCCCUGUGAGUACACUAUUUCCUCCGACAUGGAGUGAAAAGUUGGUAUAAGGCACAUAACCCGCCCAAGACACCUAGCGAUAGUCACACCCACAAGGGAUACAGCAGUGAUUAAUAUUAGACAUGAGUGUCAACUUGAUCUAGUUAAAGAAAUAAAAGGCCGGCAAAGUUAGUGCCAGCCGCCGCGGUUACACUAUAGGCCUAAAUUGAUUCUCAUCGGCGUAAAGCGUGGUUAAAGCCACUAAUAAAUUAGAGCCAAAUUCCUAUUGCGCAGUGAAAUGCCUUUCUUCGAGAAGCCCAAAAACGAAAGUUACUCUACCCUAACAGCUUGACCCCACGAUUGCCAAGACACAAACUAGGAUCAGAUACCCUACUAUGCUUGGCCCUAAACCUUAAAUUACCCCCACAUAGGGACUACGAGCAAUGCUUAAAACCUAAAGGACUUGACGGUACCCCACAUUCACCUAGAGGAGCCUGUCCUAAAACCGAUACUCCCCGUUUAACCUCACCACUCCUAGCCUUUCAGCCUGUAUACCUCCGUCCCAGCUUACCAUGUGAAUGAACUAGUAAGCCUAAUCGUUUUUCCCCCCCCCACAUCAGGUCGAGGUGCAGCAAAUGAAGUGGGAAGAGAUGGGCUACACUUUCUAUUUUAGAAGAAACGAAAAGUCAACAUGCAACCAGUCUAGAAGGUGGAUUUAGUAGUAAAAAGAAAAUAGAGUGUUCUUUUAAACCCGAUUCUGGAGUGUGUACACACCGCCCGUCACCCUCUUCAAAUAAAUAACAACAGUACUUAACAAAAAAUUUCCCUCAAGAAGAGGCAAGUCGUAACAUGGUAAGUGCACCGGAAGGUGUACUUGGUAAAGAAGUA
rnacentral:ncRNA from 1 species